UACUUCAGUUUGAGAGAGGGUGUAGAGUUGGUUUGUAAUACUACCAAUGUAAAUGUUGCAUGAGAUGAAACUUAGACAAAAGCUUGGUUUGAACCUCAGCCUUUUCACUAACACAGUUUCGAUCAUUUAAAAUGCUGGCAUGACAUAAAUCUACAGAUAAUGGGUUCUAAUCUCAGAAAAUUUUUAGUCUAGAAGUGGUUGAAAAAGAUAAAAGAUUGCCAAAUAAGCAAUGCAAAUUGAACCUGAUAACUUCCAGUAACGUGGAUAACCACAAACAUGUUAGCUUUUGCAACGAGCCAUGCAGGUUUCUGUAACGAGAGAAUGGGUUGCAAUGUCAGAAAUUUAUAAGUCUAGAACUGGUUGAAAAAAGAUAAAAUAUUGCCACAUAAGCAAUGAAAAGUGAACCUGAUAACUUCCAGUAACAUGGAUAACCAAAAACAGUUUAGCUUCUGCAACUAGCAGGUUUCUGUAAUGAGAGAAGUAUGUUGUGCUGGACUUGGUUCCCGAACAACCAGUAAUCAUAAGAGCAAUGGGCAAAUAACACAAUGCAACUAUGCAAUAGGCACCAAGCACACAUUUCCACAUGGGCUUCUUUGAAGGCUUCUCUGGUGUUGAAAGAAUCGUUGCCCGAAUCUAAAGCACCACAUUGUGACCAGCAUAGGCGAACACCAUCUCCCCUAGAGCGGUAAAGAAGUCCAAACUUUCCAGCUCUGCUGGGUGUAGGAUAGCUGUACUCAACUCCCUGUUGGACUACCUUGUGAACGGAAGCUGUCCAAGCUACUGUAAAGUAAAUAUUUUAUUUGGCAAAGAAAGUGAACAUUGUUCUUUAUAACCUUUUGUGAUCUUGCAUUAGUUUCAGAUUGAUGGGCUGGUUAAAAUAUAUGGUAGCUGCAGCUAAAGAUAUCCUAGAGAUAGAGUUGACGUUUGGCAAAUUGGAGAGAACAAAAUGGGCAGAGUCGAAUAUCAUUAUGAUUGAUUUACCUCCAGUAACCCUGUAUACUCUAUUGACACCAACUUCAACGAUCAACUGCUGAGUUACUACAAUGUAAAGGCUGAGCUUUACACCAAUGUGUGCGGGCCAACUUGGCCAAGUUCAUGGUAUCUGUCAAAACGUUUUCCAGGUACCUUCUCAUGCUUCUCAACCAUUUGCCACAAAGUGUAUAAUGUGAUGAUACAUGAGAGAACUAGAAUACUAACACCUGGGCCCCUAAUUUCACAUAUAAUUAUGGCAUAAGGAAUAAGUUUUGAUAGGAGAAAUGAAAAUAUAAAGGAACUAUAGAAUAUAGAUUGAUAGGUCUUCUAUUGUAAACUCUGUAUUUUUCUUAUAUGGAAUAUUCAAACCUUCAUUGGUUCAGUUACAUCCUUCUUUAGUGAUCCAGUUCAACCAAAUGAUUGAGAUCAAUUUAUCGCGAACUGCAAAGCUUAAGCAUAACUGAAACAAACUCAAGUUGAAGGCAUGCGUACUAUCCCAGAGCUGCCAUGGGCGUAAGGGAAACUUUGGAUUCCAGCUCCAACCAUGGCAGUAACGUUGUAAAAAGCUGAGUACCACCUUUUUGCAUUCCGUGAUCAAGUAAUUGGAAGCCAGUGGCUGUCAUCUAUUGCCUUUUGCUCCACUUACCAGUAAUUAUAAUUAGCGAUAAGGAACAUUGGAAUCAGGUAACAGAACUGGUGUAUAAAGAUAGGAUGGAAUUGUUGAAAUAUUUGGUGUUAGAAUUUUCUUCACAUAGUUCUCUCUAUAACAGUCGGGGGUGAUGAUGAAUUGUGAGAAACUGCAAUUUUUCGAGAUUCUCUGAGCCAGAUCUUUUGUGCAAAAUUAAUUUAUUAUGGAGAGAGAAUGACAGUUGCUUUAGUUGUUCUGUUUGUCUUUCCAUCUGAUGCCGUUCAUUUGUUGAAUCAGGGAUGUAAACAUAAUAAUCGGCUGCUUCCUUUGUUUCCAUGGUGUUGCAGCACAGAAAUGAUCUUGGUUUGCUUGUUGGAAGGAGAAUCUACAACGGAACCUGCAUCUUGCAGCAAACAAAUAACGCAGACAGGUUAACAGUGUUCAUACCAGUUCAAGAUUCUGAACUGCAUACUGUUAUCACCAAUGUGCUUUCUUAACUACAUAAAAUUUGGCUGUCAUUUAAGGUUGUUAUAAUAGUUAAUAUUUGAGUGCCUAGCUGGUUAUGAAAGGUAUCGUAAUGUCUAAUAAAAUUUGUAGAGGUUGACACCAUAUAGAGAUGCAAGCUCACAUUGGAGUUUGGACAAGAUUUCAUCUUGAAUGCGUUAUUAGCAGCCAAGAACUUAGCCUCACCCUUGAGCAACACCAGAAUAUUCAGUCUUAAGACUUUUAGGCACUUAAUUUUUGCAGCGUUGUUUAGUACAAGAGUACAACAAUAGGAGAGAGAAUAAUUUCCGAUUUCUGAAAUUGUCAUUUUGAUUGGGACAUCCAAAAGGGAAAUGUUUCAUUUUGAGCGGAACAGAGGGACUUGUCUAUUAUUCUCUAUGUCUGAGUAAUAUAUUCUGGAAAGUUGAGGGUAUCCUACAAAAUGCUUCCCUCGUGUUUCAUUUAACCUAUCUGUCUACUUGUCUACAAAACAAAGUAACAGAACGCC